rnacentral:rRNA from 1 species
GUUUUCGCGACGAGGGUCCACCCGGUCCCAUACCGAACCCGGUAGUUAAGCUCGUCAGCGCCGAUGGUACUAGGAGUCUCUGACAUCUGGAAGAGUAGGUCACCGCCA